UCGUUAUUUGUUUACUUUUGUUUUUGGGUAUAGUUUUUUGUAUUAAAAUUAAUUAUAUAAUUUAUUGUUUUAGUAUUUUAUCAAGGAAAAAUUUUGUUAGUAAUAGUUUAGUAGUAUUGUAGAAGAAUAUUGAAAUAGUGUGAAAAAUUUAUGUUUAAAAAGAAGAUUUAGUUUGUUGUACCUUGUGUAUCAGGGUUUAUCUAAUAUGAUGUAUUUAUAUAUCUUUCUCGAUUUCAUAAGAGUUAAUCAGUUAAUAUAGUUAAUGUGGAAUAAUUAUUAAAAAUACUUGAUUGGAAAUGAUAAGUUAAUCGUUUAUGGAGGUAUCUAGUUUUUUAAGAAAUGAAUUUAAUUCAGGAUUUUAAAUAGAAGAGUUUAAUUUUUAAUUUUUUUUUAUUUUAUAAUUCUACUAUACUAAGGGAUAAGCUUUAGUAUAUAUUUCUAAAAGAUUGAAUAUCUUGGUUUUAAUUGUAUGCUUAGAAAUAGCAUUUGAUUGUGAUUUUGUUAUAAUUUAUUUUUUUAGUAAAAUAUUUAUUUUUCUUUAGUUUUUGUAUUAAAAUAUUUACUUUAAUUUUUUUUGUUAAGUAAUAAUGAUGGAAUUAGUAUAAUUUAUUGUCUGUGGAUUAUUUUUUUUUAGAUUAGUGUAAAUAAUUCGGCAAAUUUAGUGUUCGCCUGUUUAUCAAAAACAUGUCUUAUAGGGAUCUAUUUUAAGUCUGACCUGCCCGUUGAUUUAUUGAAAGGCCGCAGAAUCUUGACUGUGCAAAGGUAGCAUAAUCACUAGUUUUUUAAUUGGAAGCUUGAAUGAAUGGUUGGACGAGACACUGACUGUUUCACAUUAAGUAUUAGAAUUUUAUUUUUUGGUAAAAAAGCCUAAAUUUUUUUAAAAGACGAGAAGACCCUAUAGAUCUUUAUAGUUAUUAUAUAUUUAUUUUUAAGAUUUUUAUUUAUUUAUAUGUAUUAUACUAUUUUGCUGGGGUGGCAGAUGAAUUUGUUUAACUUUUUUUAUUUUAUAAACAUUUAUUUAUGAUGAUACUGAUCCUUUUUAAGAUUAAAAAUUUAAGUUACCUUAGGGAUAACAGCGUAAUCCUUUUGGAGAGUUCAUAUCGAUGAAAGGGAUUGCGACCUCGAUGUUGGAUUAAGAUUUUUACUAGGCGCAGCAGCUUGGUGGUUAAGUCUGUUCGACUUUUAAUUUCUUACAUGAUCUGAGUUCAAACCGGCGUGAGCCAGGUUGGUUUCUAUCUUUAAAGAGUUAGUGUAUCUUAGUACGAAAGGGCCAGAUACACGAAAAAUUAUUUUUUUUUAAUAUGAAUAUUAAUAAUUU
rnacentral:rRNA from 1 species